AUGGACCUCCUCUUCGAGCGGGCGCGAUGUAAGGCUUCGCCUGUCAAGGAGUUCCAGUGGCUCGGGCUGAUGCUGUUCGUUGCCGUCCCGUUCCCAGGCACCGGAGCAUGGACCGGCGCCAUCAUCGCGUCCGUCCUGGGCAUGCUGUUCUGGUCAGGCUUGUCGGCGAACCUCGUGGGAGUCGUCCUUGCAGGGUUGCUGGUAAACCUGCUCAUGAACCUCGGUCUGAAGUACGCCAUUGGCACUGGGGUGCUACUCUUCAUUGUAUCAACUGUCAUGUGGGGUGGCCUUCGGGGUGUGAAGAAAUCGUUGAAUACGAAAUGA
rnacentral:rRNA from 1 species